CAGUCGCCGCGGUAAUACGAAGGGGGCUAGCGUUGUUCGGAUUUACUGGGCGUAAAGCGCACGUAGGCGGAUCGAUCAGUCAGGGGUGAAAUCCUGGAGCUCAACUCCAGAACUGCCUUUGAUACUGUCGAUCUCGAGUCCGGAAGAGGUGAGUGGAACUCCUAGUGUAGAGGUGGAAUUCGUAGAUAUUAGGAAGAACGCCAGUGGCGAAGGCGGCUCACUGGUCCGGUACUGACGCUGAGGUGCGAAAGCGUGGGGAGCGAACAGGAUUAGAUACCCGAGUAGUCCCUGUCUCUUAUAC
rnacentral:rRNA from 1 species